GCCUAGUUAGCUUAGUUGGUAGUGCGUCUGCCUUGUAAGCGCUAGGUCGCGGGUUGCGAUUCCCGCCCGGGGCG
rnacentral:tRNA from 1 species